GACGAACGCUGGCGGCGUGCUUAACACAUGCAAGUCGAACGGAAAGGCCCUGCUUGCAGGGUGCUCGAGUGGCGAACGGGUGAGUAACACGUGGGUGAUCUGCCCCUUACUUUAGGAUAAGCCUGGGAAACUGGGUCUAAUACUGGAUAGGACCAUGCUGUAGGUGGUGUGGUGGAAAGAUUAGUUUCGGUAAGGGAUGAGCUCGCGGCCUAUCAGCUUGUUGGUGGGGUAAUGGCCUACCAAGGCGUCGACGGGUAGCCGGCCUGAGAGGGUGGACGGCCACAUUGGGACUGAGAUACGGCCCAGACUCCUACGGGAGGCAGCAGUGGGGAAUAUUGCACAAUGGGCGCAAGCCUGAUGCAGCGACGCCGCGUGGGGGAUGACGGCCUUCGGGUUGUAAACUCCUUUCAGCCAUGACGAAGCCCUUGUGGUGACGGUAGUGGUAGAAGAAGCACCGGCUAACUACGCG
rnacentral:rRNA from 1 species